UACGUAGGGGGCAAGCGUUGUCCGGAUUUAUUGGGCGUAAAGAGCGUGUAGGCGGCCUGACAGGUCUGCUGUGAAAACUCGAGGCUCAACCUCGAGAUGUCGGCGGAAACCGUCUGGCUAGAGUCCGGAAGAGGAGAGUGGAAUUCCUGGUGUAGCGGUGAAAUGCGCAGAUAUCAGGAAGAACACCAAUGGCGAAAGCAGCUCUCUGGGACGGUACUGACGCUGAGACGCGAAAGCGUGGGGAGCAAACAGG
rnacentral:rRNA from 1 species